rnacentral:rRNA from 1 species
UUUAAUAAUUAGUUCAGCCUGGUCAGUACCUGGAUGGGAGUCCUCCUGGGAAAACUAGGUUGCUGUUGAAA